GACGAACGCUGGCGGCGUGCUUAACACAUGCAAGUCGAACGGAAAGGCCCUGCUUUUGUGGGGUGCUCGAGUGGCGAACGGGUGAGUAACACGUGAGUAACCUGCCCUUGACUUUGGGAUAACUUCAGGAAACUGGGGCUAAUACCGGAUAGGAGCUCCUGCUGCAUGGUGGGGGUUGGAAAGUUUCGGCGGUUGGGGAUGGACUCGCGGCUUAUCAGCUUGUUGGUGUGGUAGUGGCUUACCAAGGCUUUGACGGGUAGCCGGCCUGAGAGGGUGACCGGCGACAUGGGGACUGAGAGAAGGCCCAGACGCCUACGGGAGGAAGCAGUGGGGAAUAUUGCACAAUGGGCGGAAGCCUGAUGCAGAAACGCCGCGUGCGGGAUGACGGCCUUCGGGUUGUAAACCGCUUUAGCCUGUGACGAAGCGUGAGUGACGGUAAUGGGUAAAGAAGCACCGGCUAACUACGUG
rnacentral:rRNA from 1 species